rnacentral:rRNA from 1 species
AUUGAACGCUGGCGGCAUGCUUUACACAUGCAAGUCGAACGGCAGCACGGGUGCUUGCACCUGGUGGCGAGUGGCGAACGGGUGAGUAAUGCAUCGGAACGUGCCCAUGAGUGGGGGAUAGCCCGGCGAAAGCCGGAUUAAUACCGCAUACGCCCUUAGGGGGAAAGCGGGGGAUCUUCGGACCUCGCGCUAUUGGAGCGGCCGAUGUCGGAUUAGCUAGUAGGUGAGGUAAAGGCUCACCUAGGCGACGAUCCGUAGCUGGUCUGAGAGGAUGAUCAGCCACACUGGGACUGAGACACGGCCCAGACUCCUACGGGAGGCAGCAGUGGGGAAUUUUGGACAAUGGGCGCAAGCCUGAUCCAGCCAUGCCGCGUGAGUGAAGAAGGCCUCGGGUUGUAAGAC